rnacentral:rRNA from 1 species
AACGAACGCUGGCGGCAUGCCUAAUACAUGCAAGUCGAACGAGAUCUUCGGAUCUAGUGGCGCACGGGUGCGUAACGCGUGGGAAUCUGCCCUUGGGUUCGGAAUAACUUCUGGAAACGGAAGCUAAUACCGGAUGAUGACGUAAGUCCAAAGAUUUAUCGCCCAAGGAUGAGCCCGCGUAGGAUUAGCUAGUUGGUGGGGUAAAGGCCCACCAAGGCGACGAUCCUUAGCUGGUCUGAGAGGAUGAUCAGCCACACUGGGACUGAGACACGGCCCAGACUCCUACGGGAGGCAGCAGUAGGGAAUAUUGGACAAUGGGCGAAAGCCUGAUCCAGCAAUGCCGCGUGAGUGAUGAAGGCCUUAGGGUUGUAAAGCUCUUUUACCCGGGAUGAUAAUGACAGUACCGGGAGAAUAAGCUCCGGCUAACUCCGUGCCAGCAGCCGCGGUAAUACGGAGGGAGCUAGCGUUGUUCGGAAUUACUGGGCGUAAAGCGCACGUAGGCGGCUAUUCAAGUCAGAGGUGAAAGCCCGGGGCUCAACCCCGGAACUGCCUUUGAAACUAGAUAGCUUGAAUCCAGGAGAGGUGAGUGGAAUUCCGAGUGUAGAGGUGAAAUUCGUAGAUAUUCGGAAGAACACCAGUGGCGAAGGCGGCUCACUGGACUGGUAUUGACGCUGAGGUGCGAAAGCGUGGGGAGCAAACAGG